rnacentral:rRNA from 1 species
UCGUAACAAGGUUUCCGUAGGUGAACCUGCGGAAGGAUCAUUGUCGA